rnacentral:rRNA from 1 species
AUGGACGCUUUGAGGCCUGUCUUGAAGCAUCACCAGCUCGCCGUCGGUCGCCAUACCGCCAUGCCGUCGGCUGCAACUUUUUUCUCACACCCAUUGAAGCUUUUUCACAAAACGGUUGAAGCUUUUUUUGGCGACGGUUCCAGCUUUUGCGGUUGCGUGGUGUGGCCGGUCCUCAAAAUUCAUCGCCUUCGAUUGAAGCUUCCUAGGAUGCUGGUUGUAGCAAAAAAAAUUAUGUUUGCAUCUCCCUCCACGCCAUUCACAGCCUCCUUUUUCUCUCUCUUUGAAUGGUUCCAGCAAAAAAUUGAUCCAGCAAAAAUUCAGAAAAUGGGGAGUAGCAAAACACAAAAGACGGUGGUAGCAAAAAUCAAACACCAUUGUAGCAAAACUUGGAGUGGUUUCGGCAAAAAUAAGAUGGAUCCAGCAACAAAGUCAAAAACGGGUUGGUAG